rnacentral:rRNA from 1 species
AUGCAUUCAAAGAGUGCGUAACAGCUCACUGGUCGAGUGGGGGCGCGCCGACAAUGCGCGGGGCUCAAGCACGGCGCCGAAGCGGCGGAAUCAUGAAUUUGAUUGGUAGGGGAGCUUUCCAUGCCGGGCGAAGCCGGAGGCGCGAGCCCCGGUGGACGGCAUGGAAGUGAGGAUGCAGGCAUGAGUAGCGAGAGAGCGGCGAGAAACCGCUCCGCCGAAAACCCAAGGUUUCCUGGGCGAGGCUAAUCCCCCCAGGGUCAGCCGGGAGCUAAGGCGAGGCCGCAAGGCGCAGCCGAUGCACGACGGGCAGACAUUCCCGUGCCGGCGCGGGCGCGCUACGACCGAUGGGACGACGGGGAAGGAUACGCGAGCGGGGUUCUGGACGUCCCCGUGAAAGCGCGUAGGGAGGGGCCCAGGGAAAUCCGGUCCCCACAUAUCCCGAGACGCGAGACGAGCCGCACGGCGAAGUCGCGGAUUCCAUGCCUCCUAGAAAAAUCCCUAGGCAGCGCCCACGCCGCCCGUACCAAAACCGACACAGGUGGGUAGGAAGAGCAUUCCGAGGCGAUCGGGGCAACCAUGGUCAAGGAACUCGGCAUAAUCGUCCCGUAACUUAGGGAGAAGGGACGCCCCCCAGCGUGUACCGGCUCGCCCGGGGAGCGCCGGGGGGCCGCAGCGAAAGGGCCCAAGCGACUGUUUACCAAAAACACAGGACUCUGCCAAGCCGCGAGGCGAAGUAUAGGGUCUGACGCCUGCCCGGUGCCGGAAGGUCACGGGGAUCCGUUAGCCUUUGGCGAAGCGGUGAACCCAAGCCCCGGUAAACGGCGGCCGUAACUAUAACGGUCCUAAGGUAGCGAAAUUCCUUGUCGGGUAAGUUCCGACCUGCACGAACGGCGCAACGACUUGGGCGCUGUCUCGACCAUGGGCCCGGCGAAAUUGCAUUAUCCGUGAAGAUGCGGAUUCCCCGCGGAAGGACGGAAAGACCCCGUGAACCUUUACUGCAGCUUGGCAUUGGCCGCAGGCGCGGCGCGUAGAGGAUAGGCAGGAGGCUGCGAAGCCCGGGCGCCAGCCCGGGCGGAGCCGACCUUGGAAUACUGCCCCCGUCGCGUCGGCGGCCUAACCCGGGGACGGCCCGGGGACCGUGCCAGGCGGGCAGUUUGACUGGGGCGGUCGCCUCCCAAAGAGUAACGGAGGCGCGCGCAAGGUCCGCUCAGGACGGUCGGCAACCGUCCGCGGAGCGCAAGAGCACAAGCGGGCCUGACUGCGAGGCAGACAAGCCGAGCAGGGACGAAAGUCGGCUCUAGUGAUCCGGCGGCCCCGAGUGGAAGGGCCGUCGCUCAACGGAUAAAAGGUACUCCGGGGAUAACAGGCUGAUCUUGCCC